GAGACAAUGAUUCACUGAAUGCCAAGAUAAGAUGAAUGAAGAAUAUUGUCGAAGAAUCAAAUCUGGGGACAUGAAUAAGAAUAACAUGAACUUUCCUGAGAUUUUAUGAAAUGUGAGAUUGAAA